rnacentral:rRNA from 1 species
UUAAGUCAGGCAACGAGCGAGACCCACGCCCUUAGUUACCAGCUUGUUCUUUUUUGGAUGCUGGGCACACUAAGGGGACCGCCAAUGAUAAAUAGGAGGAAGGAGUGGACGACGGUAGGUCCGUAUGCCCCGAAUCCUCUGGGCAACACGCGGGCUACAAUGGCUGAGACAAUGGGUUCCGACACCGAAAGGUGGAGGUAAUCCUCUAAACUUAGUCGUAGUUCGGAUUGAGGACUGUAACUCGUUCUCAUGAAGCUGGAAUGCGUAGUA